AAAAAAGUUUAACUUACGAUAACACUUGACGGAAUAGUCAGCCUGCUCGGAACAGUACGUGUUACAGGGGCAAAUAUCCUUUGUUAAACAGGGUGGCUCUGAGUAAGGAAGAAAGAACACAAAUUGUAGACAGGACUUAAAGUAUGCUAGAGGAUACUGUCCCAUUGGCUACUUUGGUGUCGACUGUUCUUAACCAUGUCACUGUUUUAAUCAAGAACUGUGUGAUCACGACACCGGCAAGUGCAAUGGUUGGAAGUGUGCAGAAGGAUACGACGGUCUUCCUUUCUGUCAAGAAUAAUGAUAAAACAUUAGACAGCAGUUGAGAAAUGAAUUUAAUAUAGUACAGCUUACAAGUGCUUAUGGUCUUUUAUUUUAUUUUUAAAACUAACAUAAGUAUGACAAAGUUAGUCCAUUUCUUCAUUGAAGCCUUACGUGUUUGGUUAAACGUUGAAACUGACUGUAAUUUACAAUA